rnacentral:rRNA from 1 species
UGGGGAAUAUUGGACAAUGGGGGCAACCCUGAUCCAGCGAUGCCGCGUGGGUGAAGAAGGCCUUCGGGUUGUAAAGCCCUUUAGGUUGGGAAGAAGUGUAGUAGUUGAUAAGGCUAUUACAUUGACGGUACCGACAGAAUAAGCACCGGCAAACUCUGUGCCAGCAGCCGCGGUAAUACAGAGGGUGCGAGCGUUAAUCGGAGUUACUGGGCGUAAAGGGCGCGUAGGCGGUUAUGUGUGAGUGAUGUGAAAGCCCUGGGCUUAACCUAGGAAGUGCAUCGCAAACUACAUAGCUGGAGUACAAGAGAGGGUGGCGGAAUUUCCGGUGUAGCGGUGAAAUGCGUAGAUAUCGGAAGGAACGUCGAUGGCGAAGGCAGCCACCUGGCUUGAUACUGACGCUGAGGCGCGAAAGCGUGGGGAGCGAACAGG